AAUCAUUGGGCGUAAAGGGUACGUAGGCGGUUAAAAAAGUUAGAAGUGAAAGGCUAUAGCUCAACUAUAGUAAGCUUUUAAAACUGUUUAACUUGAGAGAUGGAAGGGAAAGUGGAAUUCCUAGUGUAGCGGUGAAAUGCGCAGAUAUUAGGAGGAAUACCGGUGGCGAAGGCGACUUUCUGGCCAUUAUCUGACGCUGAGGUACGAAAGCGUGGGUAGCAAACAGGAUUAGAUACCCUGGUAGUCAAGGGCG
rnacentral:rRNA from 1 species